AUACGUAGGUGGCAAGCGUUGUCCGGAAUUAUUGGGCGUAAAGCGCAUGUAGGCGGUGCCUUAAGUCUGUCGUGAAACUGCGGGGCUUACCCCCGUAUGGCGAUGGAAACUGUGGCACUUGAGGGCAGGAGAGGAAAGGGGAACUCCCAGUGUAGCGGUGAAAUGCGUAGAUAUUGGGAAGAACACCGGUGGCGAAGGCGCCUUUCUGGACUGUGUCUGACGCUGAGAUGCGAAAGCCAGGGUAGCGAACGGGAUUAGAUACCCCGGUAGUCCUGGCCGUAAACGAUGGGUACUAGGUGUGGGAGGUAUCGACCCCUUCCGUGCCGGAGUUAACGCAAUAAGUACCCCGCCUGGGGAGUACGGCCGCAAGGCUUAAACUCAAAGGAAUUGACGGGG
rnacentral:rRNA from 1 species